AGCCGUAGGGAAACCGAGUCUGAAUAGGGCGAUUUAGUCGCUGGGCAUAGACCCGAAACCGGGCGAUCUAUCCAUGAGCAGGUUGAAGGUUGAGUAACAUCAACUGGAGGACCGAACCCACUGUCGUUGAAAAGCCAGGGGAUGACUUGUGGAUCGGAGUGAAAGGCUAAUCAAGCCCGGAGAUAGCUGGUUCUCCCCGAAAGCUAUUUAGGUAGCGCCUCGGACGAAUACCACAGGGGGUAGAGCACUGUUUCGGCUAGGGGGUCAUCCCGACUUACCA
rnacentral:rRNA from 1 species